rnacentral:rRNA from 1 species
AUGCACGCUGGCGGCGUGCCUAAUACAUGCAAGUCGAGCGAACAGACGAGGAGCUUGCUCCUCUGAUGUUAGCGGCGGACGGGUGAGUAACACGUGGAUAACCUACCUAUAAGACUGGGAUAACUUCGGGAAACCGGAGCUAAUACCGGAUAACAUGUUGAACCGCAUGGUUCAACAGUGAAAGACGGUCUUGCUGUCACUUAUAGAUGGAUCCGCGCCGCAUUAGCUAGUUGGUAAGGUAACGGCUUACCAAGGCAACGAUGCGUAGCCGACCUGAGAGGGUGAUCGGCCACACUGGAACUGAGACACGGUCCAGACUCCUACGGGAGGCAGCAGUAGGGAAUCUUCCGCAAUGGGCGAAAGCCUGACGGAGCAACGCCGCGUGAGUGAAGAAGGUCUUCGGAUCGUAAAACUCUGUUAUUAGGGAAGAACAAAUGUGUAAGUAACUAUGCACGUCUUGACGGUACCUAAUCAGAAAGCCACGGCUAACUACGUG